rfam:Triticum urartu cultivar G1812 contig1122089, whole genome shotgun sequence.
UUAAUGGAGAGUUUGAUCCUGGCUCAGGACGAACGCUGGCGGCGUGCUUAACACAUGCAAGUCGAGCGGUAAGGCCCUUCGGGGUACACGAGCGGCGAACGGGUGAGUAACACGUGAGUAACCUGCCCCCAACUCUGGGAUAAGCCGAGGAAACUCGGUCUAAUACCGGAUAUGACACGCUCCUGCAUGGGAGGGUGUGGAAAGUUUUUUCGGUUGGGGAUGGACUCGCGGCCUAUCAGCUUGUUGGUGAGGUAAUGGCUCACCAAGGCGAUAACGGGUAGCCGGCCUGAGAGGGCGACCGGCCACACUGGGACUGAGACACGGCCCAGACUCCUGCGGGAGGCAGCAGUGGGGAAUAUUGCGCAAUGGGCGAAAGCCUGACGCAGCGACGCCGCGUGGGGGAUGACGGCCUUCGGGUUGUAAACCUCUUUUACCACUCACGCAGGCUCCCAGUUUUCUGGGGGUUGACGGUAGGUGGGGAAUAAGGACCGGCUAACUACGUGCCAGCAGCCGCGGUAAUACGUAGGGUCCGAGCGUUGUCCGGAAUUAUUGGGCGUAAAGAGCUCGUAGGCGGCUAGUCGCGUCUGCUGUGAAAGACCGGGGCUUAACUCCGGUUCUGCAGUGGAUACGGGCUGGCUAGAGGUAGGUAGGGGAGACUGGAAUUCCUGGUGUAGCGGUGAAAUGCGCAGAUAUCAGGAGGAACACCGGUGGCGAAGGCGGGUCUCUGGGCCGAUACUGACGCUGAGGAGCGAAAGCGUGGGGAGCGACCAGGAUUAGCGGGAGGAGCACCGGGGGCGAAGGCGGGUCUCUGGGCCUUACCUGACGCUGAGGAGCGAAAGCAUGGGGAGCGAACAGGAUUAGAUACCCUGGUAGUCCAUGCCGUAAACGUUGGGCGCUAGGUGUGGGGACUUUCCACGGUCUCCGUGCCGUAGCUAACGCAUUAAGCGCCCCGCCUGGGGAGUACGGCCGCAAGGCUAAAACUCAAAGGAAUUGACGGGGGCCCGCACAAGCGGCGGAGCAUGUUGCUUAAUUCGACGCAACGCGAAGAACCUUACCAAGGUUUGACAUCACCCAUGGACUCGUGGAGACACGGGGUCAUUUAGUUGGUGGGUGACAGGUGGUGCAUGGCUGUCGUCAGCUCGUGUCGUGAGAUGUUGGGUUAAGUCCCGCAACGAGCGCAACCCUUGUUCCAUGUUGCCAGCACGUAAUGGUGGGGACUCAUGGGAGACUGCCGGGGUCAACUCGGAGGAAGGUGGGGAUGACGUCAAGUCAUCAUGCCCCUUAUGUCUUGGGCUGCAAACAUGCUACAAUGGCCGGUACAGAGGGCGUGCGAUGUCGUAAGGCGGAGCGAAUCCCUAAAAGCCGGUCUCAGUUCGGAUUGGGGUCUGCAACUCGACCCCAUGAAGGUGGAGUCGCUAGUAAUCGCGGAUCAGCAACGCCGCGGUGAAUACGUUCCCGGGCCUUGUACACACCGCCCGUCACGUCACGAAAGUCGGCAACACCCGAAACUUGCGGCCCAACCCUUCGGGGAGGGAGUGAGUGAAGGUGGGGCUGGCGAUUGGGACGAAGUCGUAACAAGGUAGCCGUACCGGAAGGUGCGGCUGGAUCACCUCCUUU